CGAGCGGUAACGGUGUAGCAAUACAUGCUGACGAGCGGCAGACGGGUGAGGAACACGUACGCAACUUUCCUCAGACCGGGGCACAACCUUGAGAAAUCAGGGCUAAUUCCCCAUAACAUUGCGAGAGGGCAUCUGAUUGCAAUUAAAGAUUCGUCGGUUUGAGAUGGGCGUGCGUUCGAUUAGCUAGUUGGUAGGGUAACGGCUUACCAAGGCAACGAUCGAUAGCUGGUGUGAGAGCACGACCAGCCACACGGGCACUGAGAUACGGGCCCGACUCCUACGGGAGGCAGCAGUAAGGAAUAUUGGUCAAUGGACGAAAGUCUGAACCAGCCAUGCCGCGUGAGGGAUGAAGGUCCUCUGGAUUGUAAACCUCUUUUAUCUAUGAAGAAAUGUCCUGUUUCUACCGGAUUUGACCGGAAUAGAUGAAUAAGCACCGGCUAAC
rnacentral:rRNA from 1 species